rnacentral:rRNA from 1 species
UACGUAGGGAGCAAGCGUUGUCCGGAAUCAUUGGGCGUAAAGCGCGCGUAGGUGGCCCUGUAAGUCCGCUCUGAAAGUCGAAGGCUCAACCUUCGAAAGCGGGUGGAUACUGCAGGGCUAGAGUCCGGAAGAGGCGAGUGGAAUUCCUGGUGUAGCGGUGGAAUGCGCAGAUAUCGAGAGGAACACCUGCGGCGAAGGCGGGUUGCUGGGCUGACACUGACGCUGAUGCGCGAAAGCCAGGGGAGCGAACGGG